rnacentral:rRNA from 1 species
CGAAGGGGGCUAGCGUUGUUCGGAAUUACUGGGCGUAAAGGGCGCGUAGGCGGUCCUGAUCGUCGGAUGUGAAAGGCCUGGGCUCAACCUGGGAACUGCAUCCGAUACGGCGGGACUGGAGUGUGGGAGAGGUUGGUGGAAUUCCCAGUGUAGAGGUGAAAUUCGUAGAUAUUGGGAAGAACACCGGUGGCGACGGCGGCCAACUGGACCACAACUGACGCUGAGGCGCGAAAGCGUGGGGAGCAAACAGGAUUAGAUACCCUGGUAGUCCACGCUGUAAACGAUGCGUGCUAGACGUUGGGAGACCUAGUCUCUCGGUGUCGUCGCUAACGCUUUAAGCACGCCGCCUGGGGAGUACGGCCGCAAGGUUA